rnacentral:rRNA from 1 species
CUACGGAGGGUGCAAGCGUUAAUCGGAAUUACUGGGCGUAAAGCGCUCGUAGGCGGCUUGUUAAGUCGGAUGGGAAAUCCCCGGGCUCAACCUGGGAACUGCAUUCGAUACUGGCAGGCUAGAGUAUAGUAGAGGCAAGUGGAAUUCCGGGUGUAGCGGUGAAAUGCGUAGAUAUCCGGAGGAACAUCGGUGGCGAAGGCGACUUGCUGGACUAAUACUGACGCUGAGGAGCGAAAGCGUGGGGAGCAAACGGGAUUAGAAACCCCAGUAGUCC